GGGUAUAGCUCAGUGGAAGAAUGUGUGCUUAGCAUGCACAAGGUCCUGGGUUCUAUCCCUAGUACCACCA
rnacentral:tRNA from 1 species